AUAUAUUAGUGUGUAGUUUGAGAAACAGACCCUUCAUAGGUCUUCAACUGGCAGCUUCACUAGGUAGCACCCGCAAAAGACCAGUCUCAACAUCAACAGUGAAGAGGCAACCCCUGCAUGCUGGCCUUCUAGGCAGAAUUGCAAAGAAAAAGCCACAGAAUCUCAGAAUGACCAAUAAAAAAGACUGCGAUGGGCAAAUGAACACAGACAGUGGACAGAAGAAGACUGGAAAAAAAGUGCUGUGGAUAGAUGAAUCUAAGUUUGAGGUGUUCGGAUCACAAAGAAGAAUGUUUGUAAGAUGCAGAUCAAAUGAAAAGACGCUGGAGGAGUGCUCAACGACAUCUGUCAAGCAUCGUGGAGGCAAUGUGAUGGUCUGAGGCUGCUUUGGUGACAGUAAAGUGGGAGGUUUGUACAGGAUAAAAGAGAUCUUGGAGAAGAAAGGCUGUCACUCCAUUUUGCAAGGCCAUGCCAUACCCUGUGGACGGUGCUUGAUUGGAGCCAAUUUCAUCCAACAGAACAAUAACCCAAAAACAGCUCCAAAUGAUGUAAGAACUAUUUAAGGAAGUAGUAGUCAGCUGGUAUUCUGUGUAUAAUGGAGAGGCAGCACAGUCCCUGGAUGUCAACUCUACUGAGCUGUGAUGGGAGCAGCUUGACCGAAUGGUACGUAAGAAGUGCUCAUCAAGCCAAUCCAACUUGUGGAAGAUGCUUCAGGAAGCAGUGGGUGAAAUCUCAUCAGAUUACCUCAACAAACUGACAUCUAGACUCCCCAAGGUUCCUUCCACACGCAGCAUACCGGCCGCUCACUCAGAUGGAGCAUCUUCUGAUGAAAUCCUCCGUGCAUGAUGGGAACCUGGAGACCAGGGCCAUGCCAAUGAAAAACGACACCCACUCAGCUAAUUGGGAGGCGGUGGAGUGCAGGCAGAGCAAUUGUGGGAAACAGAGAGCCUGAGGCCCGUCGUGGAACCCCAAGAACGGUAUGGACAGUCCGGCCAGCUCACCUCCUUUCACCAUUUGCCCAUUUCAGGACUUUUUUCAGGUUUUUAAAGCAAACAUUAUGCCCCUUGUCCUCCCCCAUUAUCACAGCUUGGCUUGGUGUCUUUUUUGGUCAAAUAAUAUUUGAUCAAUGAUAUUUAUAUAUUUUACAAUAAGAAAAGAGUCAUCAUGCAUGUUCAGUGUUCCACGUUGAAAAUAAGGAACACAGCACUUUCACACUUCUUCUCACUUUCUCACGAUUCACAAAGCCGAGGCCACAUGCUCCACAGACCUCAGUAUGUUCUAAUAAAAUAUGACCAAAUGAGCUGAGAGCUGGUCAGUUUUACCAAUGUCAUCUGCCCAUGUUUUUGGUCUCACGGGACCUCAGAGUGUCAACUGCAUGUAGCGGUGCUUGUAACAUCUUCCUUGCUGCAGACUGGCCAUCCAGGGUCAAUCCCUGGCCUAGGAAGCAAGAGACCGCGGAGUCCCAGUGACAUCAGGAGGCCCGACUGACCCAUUAAUCAACCGGGGGCAGUCAAGGGUCGCUGGGUGAAACUAAUGAUGCGCAUGAGUAGGGCGACAUGGGGAGCACAAAGAGUCUACCCCCCCACCCCUGUCGUCUCAUGGUGACAAAGAAAACAGCGCAUCAUUCUUAUCUAAAUGGCGUUAUGAGCCUGUAUGCCCAGCUUGGCACCCAUGAGUCGUGAUCUCAGGUCUUUUUCAAUAUGACAGAACAUUCGCCCCAUUUUCCAUUUUAUUCAUGUAAAAUGAAUAAACAGAAGAACAAUAAAAGGACCAUCCGCAGUCACUGAACUGCAAGAGUGCGAAGCAUGACAUCAACAUAAGACGCAAUAUAUCACAGAACUCACCAAUCCUGUAGGUUUACCACAAAACAGGGUGACACACACAUCUUUUCAGAUGUGUGUGUUACCCUGGAUUUCUGGCUUCCUACUGAGGAAUACUCAUCUGACAAACCCCAUACUACAACAUUACCUCAUAAGAACAGGGAGGUGAUGGGGUGACAUAUACGUAACUUCCAGUGACACACAUGAAGGCACAUUCUAGUAUGAUGGCUGUACGCAGUAAACCGACAGCCUGAGGCAGACACUCCGACACUCUGAAAGAACUGGGACAAAGCAAAGACUUUUCCUUUCCACCAUAUACAAAAUUGCUUUGAUUUACUUCUGAGUCAAACUAAAAAAGACUCAGACUAAGGUCACAUUUAACAGAGGUUUUAUGUCAUUAUCAAUAUAUUUUGUCUCAAGGUAAUUUUAAGUUCACGAGCAUAAAAUGUUGUCAAGGAAAUCUGAUACACCUUACACUGUAUAUAGCCUCCAGAAAUUUCAGACAUUUUUCACUGACUCCAAAGGCAUUAAAACAAUGGCUGUGUACCAAGUGACAAGCACCUGGAGCUACAAAUAAAAGCCUCUUUUCAGUUAAAUAUAAGGUCACUUGACAACAGCGGAUAAUAUCACUUUAUGAAAUACUUUAUGUUAUAUAAGCAAACCAUCAUAAAUUUCCAUAUAUAACAUGCUUAACAUCAAAGCACCAGCGAAAUUGCUCACGCAGCUUGCUAGUCCUGCCAGAUACGCAUAGUGCAAAGCACUUCUCUGCAUCAUCUUUACAUUCCGUUUAGAUUUCAUCCCAUUGAACUCAAAAGUAAGCAGUUCUCCCUCAAUGCUACUUAAAAACACUAUCAUUACAAUCACUACAAUCUUUAGAAGUCACAGUGACAGAAGUUCAGGCAUUCUUUAUCAGUAUUGUUGCAGAGUUACUUCCUUAGUAAUGUUUUGGUAUAGCAAAAGGAAUGUGUUCUCAGUUUUUGAGGACUUGUUUAUGAACAAGAGUGUAGAGCAAGCAGUGGAAAUGGGAGGUAAGGAGUGCUGCGCCAAUUCAUAUGAUGGCUUUCUUCAAUUCAGCACUGUCAUUGUCACAAUCAACAGUCAAAAAUUUACAACCAAUUGCUGGUUGUUUCCCAGCCUUCUUUACUGUCAGAUGUGGGUCUAUUUAUUUAGAAUGCAUGUGGCAAUUAUUGUAAAUAAUCGUGUUUUAACUGGAGCCUUCCAAGUUUACAUUAAAAACAAAUUAAUUAUGCAAAAACAACACUGUGAAAAAUCUAAAUGGCUACUAUAAAUGUGUUUGGCUUUUCGAGGCUCCAUUUCCAGGUGCAAAAGCAAACUGCAGGCCAAAUAUAACAUUGGAAUUCUUCCAAAGUGCCUUUUGAUGUUAUAAUAAUGGAAUUCAUCCUGCUAAUUUCCACUAUUUUUGAAAAUUCAUGUAUUUUUUAGCCAGUAUAGUAAAAGUGAAUCUAAAAUUGUAGAUCAUCUGAAGAAACUGCCCUCAAAACAUUACUUUACCAGAUCUAGAAUUGUCUCAGAAAGCUCAUGGGAAUUAAAUGAAUAAACACUUCCUGUUGUUCCAAAAAGGUUGAUUUAAGCAAUGUAGAGCAGACAGCUUGGGGAUAUUAUUAGGAACAAGGUUAUUUAUCUCAAAUUUGACUUUAGUCUACUUGUACAGCAGAUGAAGAUUGCUACCAAAGAUUGUGAUUCUUUAUAUUAAUUCUCCCAUAAAUGAAUCGUUUUAUUAUUACACUUCCUGACAAGAGAAGAAAAAAAUGCAAUUGCAGUUUUAACUUAAUCAUCCUAAAUAACAGUAAAAAUAACAUUUGAUUCCUUUACUUCCUGAAGAACCCGUAACGUUGAACCUAAGAAAAAAACAGUCAUUAAACAAUAGAAUUAGGCCGCGGAACUGAAAUGUCAUAACGUAACAAACCAUGGGGUCAUUUCUAUCACAAAGCACUUAAGUCAAAAAAGUGCUUAAAAAGAUAUGUGCGUUUGAGCUACGCAUACUCUCCCCUUAUCAGCAUGCACACGCCCACCACACUUAACCUGAAAAAGAUGCUGUGGCCGGGCAAGAAGUAUAAUAAUAACCAAUGAUUCUUGCAACAAGCAAAAUGUGGAACAUGGACUUUUCACUAACAUUGUGAACCUAACUGAAAUCCACAAAACCCUAUUAUUUGGAAAUUGAAAGCAUAGAUGUAGCGUACUAUAUGGUUAUAUUUGGGUGUUCUCACAAAUUGUGAGAAUCCUUUGACAAAAACAAAAUGUUACAGUGAAAUACAGUGUUUGAAUUGUGUGCAGUAAAUUAAAAUGAUGUAAUUUAUAACACUGAUUUAAUGAUUCAUCAGCCAUUUUCCCCAAAUAGGGUUUUAAGAUCAAAAAACACAAAACUAGUUAAAAUGUUUUUAAAUCUUUCAACUUUGCUACUAAUAGAUAAUCAAUGAGUAUAGUAAGACGUACGUUAAUUUCUUCAGUUUUCUUGUAUUGUCUAUUGUUUUACUCUACAACCGAUUAACUACAAGAGGCAAAAUCAACAUUUAAGGGCUACAAUUAAUAAAAAUAACAUAUAAAACCUCAAGAAUAAAGUCGUAAUUUUCAAGAAUAAAGUUGUAAUUUGUGAGAAUAAAGUCAGAAUAAUUCAUGAAUAAAGUUAUAAAAGUCAUAAUUUUUUGGAAUAACACCAAAGGCCACACUCCAGCAGUUACAAAAAUGGAUGGAUGGAUGGAUGGAUGGAUGGAUGGAUGGAUGGCCGCACCCCAAAAAAGUGACUUUUAUCUUGUGACUUUUAUCUUGUGACUUUAUUCUCACACUUUCUCACGCAGAGCACCAUUAGCACAGAAGCCUAAUACAAUGGCAGGGCAGGCACUUAAAUACACAGAAAACUGGGGCAAACAAGGAACAGGUGUAAGACAAUCAAUUAACCAAUCAACAAACACUGGCACAAGGAAACGGGCAACAGGUGGAACUAAUAACUAAUGGGCACAGAAACUAGGGAGCUUUACAAAUACCAAAAACUAGGUAACAUUAACUGGGAAUUAAACACCGGGAAUAAAAUGCAAGGAUAAUCAAACAGAACCAGAAAGGAACAGAACACAAGUACAACCAAGGGCAAGAAAACUAAUAUAGAAAAUAGACACUGAAAAACAAAAUUCAAGAAAUAUAAACAGACAAAGUUAGUUCAAAGGCAGCUUCAAACCCCUGAUCAGCAUGCCUGAACCACACAUUCAGCCUAUUGAGCUAUAUGGCAGUCAGGGAAACAAGAGAAAAUACACAAGGAUGUGAUGAGGAGUGACAGGACGGGAUGGCCAGCGACACCUGCUGGCCAAACAAGGAAGAAACACGAAGGGUACAGGUGCUGACCCUGACAUGUGUCUGCAUUCCAUUGGUGUUGGAUAUAGGGGGAUCAUGUCCACUCCAAUAUCAGCAGAACCCCCUCCCCUUCCUUCCCAAUCAAUAAAUAAAAACAUAAUUAACAGCACGUUGUUUAUCUUUCAUUAUGAAUCCACCCAUUACUAAGGCCAGUUCACUGCGCAUUCAGAGGACAAGGAUGAAACCUAACAAAGAUUGUAGUCAUGAAUCAAACAAAAUCAUUUUAACCUAUGGAUCAAUUUUUUUUAGUUAAGUGAUAUUUGGUUAUAAAACUGUAGCCUUAACUACGUUAAUCUUAUUUUAAAUGAGCAAUAUGAGCUGACAACAGCGAUAAGAGACAGCUAAGAGAGACUCAGGCCAACCUUAUGAAAGAAUGGAAGAUAUACUUAACUAAGAACGUUUCGGGAAAAAUGUCCAAGCGUUAAGAAACAACUUAAGGUAGAACUUACCAAAGACUUACCGUUAGGAAGGUUUCGGGAAACCCACCCUUUCACUUGGUUGCUUGAAGACUAACCCAGACUAAUUUUAUUAUUCAAGCACCGUGCCAUAAGACAGGGAACAAAAAGAAGGGCUUCAAACCAUACAUUUGAAGCAGAAACAGAGUUAGACUUUCUCCAUAUCCUAGGGUACCAGAUCACAUUAUCCAUCUUAGGACCUAAAAUGCCUGAAAUGUCCGGGAUUUGUUUUGUUUUAUGUUUACAUUUGCUUUAUACUAGGGAUGGGCACAUUUUUCCUUAUCCAUUUUUUCCAACUAUAUCGAUAUAAUUGAAAAAUGUGUGUAAAGAAUUCUGUUUUCAUUGGGUCAAACUUCAUUAUUGGAUUAAAAAAAACAAACAAAUCCAUUUUCCCCUUGCAUUAGGCUACUCUGAUAAGCACAUUCCGCCAAAACAUAACACAGAUGCCUUGUACAAGAAGGGGCAAAGCCGUCUCCACCUGCUGAGGAGGCUGAGGUCCUUUGGUGUGUGUAGGAAAAAAGACCUUUUACGACACUAUAGUAGCAUCUGCUAUAUUCUUCGCGGUGGUCUGCUAGGGGUGUAGGAGCUCAGGAAGGGACAGGAAGAGACUGAACAAGCUGGUCAGGAGCGCUGGCUCUGUCCUGGGCUGCUCUUUGGACUCCACUGAGGAGGUGGCUGAGAGGAGGAUGCUGGCCAAGUUUACAUCCAUUAUGGUCAGUCCCACUCACCCCCUGCAUAACACAGUGAGGACAUUACGAAGCUCCUUCAGCAACAGACUACUGCAUCCAACAUGCAAGAAGGAACGCUUCCGCAGGUCCUUCAUUCCAUCUGCCAACAGACUUUAUAACACCUCAGUCACCUAUAGUUCAUAAAUUAUGUCACUAUUCUGUAUAUUGUGUAAUGUCUGCUGCAUGGGCAGACAUCUAUCUAUCUAUCUAUCUAUCUAAUCCAUAGCAAAGUAAUCAUGCUUGUGUUUCUUGCUGAAAGUGAGUAAACUGGUUACUGUUUCAGUUCAUCUUCCAGACAGCGAUCGUUCUUAAUUCCCCUAUAUGGCAAUGACAGCAUACCUUUCUGUCUUUUUUAUGAUUCUUAUUGUUAUUAUUAAACUCCAUCAUUUAGUCUUUGGGCAUCGUUUAUGUUCAUUAUAAAAUAAUGAAUACUACCGAUGCGCUGUUUAUUUGGGAAACAUUUUCUGCUACUGUUUCAACUGGGGAAAAUAAAAGGUGAAAAGAAA